rnacentral:rRNA from 1 species
UACGAGGGGGGCAAGCGUUGUUCGGAAUUAUUGGGCGUAAAGGGCGCGUAGGCGGUGCGGUAAGUCACCUGUGAAACCUCUAGGCUCAACCUAGAGCCUGCAGGCGAAACUGCCGUGCUUGAGUAUGGGAGAGGUGCGUGGAAUUCCCGGUGUGGCGGUGAAAUGCGUAGAUAUCGGGAGGAACACCUGUGGCGAAAGCGGCGCACUGGACCAUAACUGACGCUGAGGCGCGAAAGCUAGGGGAGCAAACAGG